AUAAUGCAUUGUUUACAUCCAUGUUAACUUGCUAGCAGUUUUCUUCUUCCCUGCCUUUGACAGCGCAUUGCUGUGUUUGUUU